GCGGAGGUGUCUAGUAGGCAGCUGUGUGCCUCCCUUAUAGGAGGGUGUUGUCAGGACUGUGAGGUUUGAGCUUUUUGGAUGGAGAAGGUGUAUCUCCAAGUCAGAGGAUGGCACCAGCUUCUCCCUUGAAACAAGCUUCCUACUGUUCCAUCCCACAGAAAAUAAGUUCAGGAAGUGUGUCACAUUUUUAGGAGGUUUUGCAGACUGUGUUUGCUGGUUAUCUUUUUUACCACGGGGGUUGAAGAUAUUCUACAUGUAAUAUGGGCUGGGUUUACUCUUCCAAUUCCACUAAACCAUCAGAAGAUCCAUACAGUGCUGUGGACAGAAUGGUAAUUAUACACCACUUGCUGGUUCAGGAAACUGAGCACAAAGUACUGACAUUUGCAUAACCUGCUAGACAAUUGGUCCAUGCAGUAUCUGAAUGCUUCAUAACAUUAAGAUAUUUAUCUUCAAGACAACUUCCCUCUGGAGAUCAGUAGCCCUCACAUCCUCAUCUUUCUGGAAGGACAUGUCUACUUUCUCCCACUGGCUUUGUAAGAAUAUGGCAGUGCAUGAGCAAGGUGAAUUUUAUCUGCAGCUGAGAAGAUCAUGCCCAGGUGACAGCAGUGCUAGACCUACUGCAGCUCAGCAAGUUGCCCCUGACUGACUGAUCUGCAGUGAAGUGUUGAACCCCUCUUCUUCAUUUACUGGAAAUCAUUUCCUAGUCUAGACUUGGAAACCAGCAGCAGAAUUUGCAUGGAAGAUAUCUGCUGCCCAACUUGUGCAGAAACUUUGCUCCUUAAAAUGUUUUUUUUUUUUUUUUUUUUUAAAAUGUGAGAGUGAACCUUGUGUCAAAAUAAUGAGCUUCAUGCAUUCAAAUUAGAGCUUGAGUGUUAAUUAGGUCACUCUUACUAAAAUGAUUUAUUGAAUUAUAUUUGGUAUUAGCAGCCCUAAGUUUUCCUCCAUGGAGAGUCAGUGAAAAUCACCUUCAUCAAUCUUCAAGACUUUAUUAAACUUAUUUUUUCCCUCUAUUUUUUUUAAUUUAUUAAAUAAUCUACUCUGAGAGACUGAUUGAGUAGUUCUUCAAGACAUUGAGAAGCCUCAUAAGAAAAAACAAAUCUUAAUUUUUAGGUUUUUAAGGCAGAUUAAUAAAAAUAUGCUUUAGGAGCCUAAUUAACUAUUUUGAGCUGAACUGGAAGGCUUUCAUUGCUGCCAAUAGCUACUGGAUGAUAUUUAAUAUAGCAGACAUACAGAAGAUGGUCAAGGUACUUACAUAGUUUAAAAAAGUUCCAAAGCCAGGAUCAAAUAUCUGAUGUUUCAGACCAUGCUGGAUAGCUUGUAGGAAGAAAAAAAAAAAAAGGGAAAGAAAAGGAGUUCAGGGUGAGAACUUUUAUUCCUUCACUCUUCCUCGUUUUGGGUCUCAGAGGCUUUUCAAAGCUCUUGAC